UCUCCGUAGGUGAACCUGCGGAGGGAUCAUUACUGAGCGAGGGUUUAACCGCCCGACCUCCAACCCUUUGUGAAUCGUACUCGUUGCUUCGGGGGCGACCCCGCCGUUUCGGCGGUGGCGCUCCCGGGGUCAAUCAAACACUGCAUUCUCUGCGUCGGAGUAUUAGUAAAUCUAAUCAAAACUUUCAACAACGGAUCUCUUGGUUCUGGCAUCGAUGAAGAACGCAGC
rnacentral:misc_RNA from 1 species